GAUGAACGCUGGCGGCGUGCCUAAUACAUGCAAGUCGAGCGAACAGACGAGGAGCUUGCUCCUCUGACGUUAGCGGCGGACGGGUGAGUAACACGUGGAUAACCUACCUAUAAGACUGGGAUAACUUCGGGAAACCGGAGCUAAUACCGGAUAAUAUAUUGAACCGCAUGGUUCAAUAGUGAAAGACGGUUUUGCUGUCACUUAUAGAUGGAUCCGCGCCGCAUUAGCUAGUUGGUAAGGUAAAGGCUUACCAAGGCAACGAUGCGUAGCCGACCUGAGAGGGUGAUCGGCCACACUGGAACUGAGACACGGUCCAGACUCCUACGGGAGGCAGCAGUAGGGAAUCUUCCGCAAUGGACGAAAGCCUGACGGAGCAACGCCGCGUGAGUGAUGAAGGUCUUCGGAUCGUAAAACUCUGUUAUUAGGGAAGAACAAAUGUUUAAGUAACUAUACACGUCUUGACGGUACCUAAUCAGAAAGCCACGGCUAACUACGUG
rnacentral:rRNA from 1 species